AGAGUUUGAUCCUGGCUCAGGAUGAACGCUAGCGGCAGGCUUAACACAUGCAAGUCGAGGGGUAUAAGUCUUCGGAAUUAGAGACCGGCGCACGGGUGCGUAACGCGUAUGCAAUCUACCUUUCACAGAGGGAUAGCCCAGAGAAAUUUGGAUUAAUACCUCAUAGUAUAUAGCCCUGGCAUCAGGAUUAUAUUAAAGUCACAACGGUGAAAGAUGAGCAUGCGUCCCAUUAGCUAGUUGGUAAGGUAACGGCUUACCAAGGCUACGAUGGGUAGGGGUCCUGAGAGGGAGAUCCCCCACACUGGUACUGAGACACGGACCAGACUCCUACGGGAGGCAGCAGUGAGGAAUAUUGGACAAUGGGCGCAAGCCUGAUCCAGCCAUGCCGCGUGCAGGAUGACGGUCCUAUGGAUUGUAAACUGCUUUUGCACAGGAAGAAACAACUCUACGUGUAGAGUCUUGACGGUACUGUGAGAAUAAGGAUCGGCUAACUCCGUGCCAGCAGCCGCGGUAAUACGGAGGAUCCAAGCGUUAUCCGGAAUCAUUGGGUUUAAAGGGUCCGUAGGCGGUUUAGUAAGUCAGUGGUGAAAGCCCAUCGCUCAACGGUGGAACGGCCAUUGAUACUGCUAGACUUGAAUUAUUAGGAAGUAACUAGAAUAUGUAGUGUAGCGGUGAAAUGCUUAGAGAUUACAUGGAAUACCAAUUGCGAAGGCAGGUUACUACUAAUGGAUUGACGCUGAUGGACGAAAGCGUGGGUAGCGAACAGGAUUAGAUACCCUGGUAGUCCACGCCGUAAACGAUGGAUACUAGCUGUUGGGAGCAAUCUCAGUGGCUAAGCGAAAGUGAUAAGUAUCCCACCUGGGGAGUACGUUCGCAAGAAUGAAACUCAAAGGAAUUGACGGGGGCCCGCACAAGCGGUGGAGCAUGUGGUUUAAUUCGAUGAUACGCGAGUAACCUUACCAAGGCUUAAAUGUAGAUUGACCGGACUGGAAACAGUUUUUUCGCAAGACAAUUUACAAGGUGCUGCAUGGUUGUCGUCAGCUCGUGCCGUGAGGUGUCAGGUUAAGUCCUAUAACGAGCGCAACCCCUGUUGUUAGUUGCCAGCGAGUCAUGUCGGGAACUCUAACGAGACUGCCAGUGCAAACUGUGAGGAAGGUGGGGAUGACGUCAAAUCAUCACGGCCCUUACGCCUUGGGCUACACACGUGCUACAAUGGCCGGUACAGAGAGCAGCCACUGGGUGACCAGGAGCGAAUCUACAAAACCGGUCACAGUUCGGAUCGGAGUCUGCAACUCGACUCCGUGAAGCUGGAAUCGUUAGUAAUCGGAUAUCAGCCAUGAUCCGGUGAAUACGUUCCCGGGCCUUGUACACACCGCCCGUCAAGCCAUGGAAGCUGGGGGUGCCUGAAGUCGGUGACCGCAAGGAGCUGCCUAGGGUAAAACUGGUAACU
rnacentral:rRNA from 1 species